UACGAAGGGUGCUAGCGUUGUUCGGAAUUACUGGGCGUAAAGCGUGCGUAGGCGCAUAUCAAGUCAGAGGUGAAAUCCCUGGGCUCAACCCAGGAACUGCCUUUGAAACUGAUAUGCUAGAGUAUGAGAGGGGAGUGCGGAAUUGCUAAUGUAGAGGUGAAAUUCGUAGAUAUUAGCAGGAACACCGGUGGCGAAGGCGGCACUCUGGAUCAUUACUGACGCUCUGGCACGAAAGGCCGUGGGGAAUCAAACAGG
rnacentral:rRNA from 1 species